UUUUACAAUUAACAAAGCCAAAAGACCACAAAUGUCGAUCCAAAACGAAAUACCCUCACAAAUUCCUAUUUUAAAUAUAUGUUGUGCAUUCUGGAAUUUAAAGCCGCGGGAAGCAAAGGGUUCUUAUCAACUUUCGACUUCCUGUGCCGCCAGCACUUAAGUUAAAGGAUGUCACCACUGGCGAGUAUAACCCCCAGCCAUUGAAAAACCGGAAAGCUGCCUGCGUGCUGGUCCAACAUAAAAGGGAAAAUAGCAGCCGCAACAGGAAAAGCAAUAGUAUUUACGCGUGCCUUUGAUAAUGAGGACUUAUGAAUGCGUGAACGCAUAAAAGAUAAGAUACAAGAAGGUGGGGAGCCUACUAAUUGUUAGUUAUUAGUUCGCCAUUGAUGCUGCAAACAAUGUGCUCCAUGGUCCACUCAAUAAACACUUUUACGCGGA